AGCCUGUGAAAGCAGCUGGGAGGGCUGUACCCUGCAAAGCCACAAAGGCAGAGCUGCCCAAGACUUUUGAGUUAAUGCUGAAAUGAGAUAAGACUUUAGGGGUACUGUUGGGAAGGCAUGAUUGGUUUUGAAAUGUGAGGACCUAAGAUCUGGGAGAGGCCAGUGGUGGAAUGAUAUGGUUUGGCUGUGUCCCCACCAAAAUCUCAUUUUGAAUGUACCUCCUAUAAUCCCCAUAUGUCAUGGGAGGGACCCAGUGGGAAGUAAUUAAAUCAUGGGGGUGGGUUUUUCCUGUGCUUAUGAGAGUGAAUAAGCUUCACGAGAUCUGAUGGUUUUAUAAAAGGGAGUUCUCCUGCACACACACUCUUGACUGCCACCAUGUGAGAUGUGCCUUUGCUCCUCCUUUGCCUUCCGCCAUGAGUGUGAGGCCUCCCCAGCCAUGUGGAACUGUGAGUCCAUUAAACCUCUUUUUCUUUAUCGUUUUCCAUUCUUGGGUAUUUCUUCAUAGCUAUAUGAAAAUGGACUAAUGCCACGAGGUGCAGUGGCUCAUGCCUGUAAUUCUAACACUGUGGGAGGCUGAGGCGGGUGGAUCACGAGGUCAGGAGUUCAAGACCAUCCUGGCUAAGAUGGUGAAACCCUGUCUCUACUAAAAAUACAA
rnacentral:lncRNA from 1 species